AUAAUAUAUAUAUAUAUAUAUUUUUUUUUUACAAACUUCCCUGGGGCGAGUGUGAAAGCUGCAGUGGCAUUCGUGUUGCAUUGUCCGGUAGCGAUAGCGUUAAUUUGAAAUAAACCGAGCGGAGGGGUGAGGGUGGGGGGUGGGGUUGCUUUGUCACCGCUGAAUAGCUCUUUCACAUGGGUGACGCGCUACUUUAAUGGGCUAUAAAUCAAAGGGGGGCAGGCAAGUCCCGCCCUGUCUUUAUGAAACGUGGUUAUCAAAGAGCAGAACCGGCAGAGAUGAGACAGUAUAGCUCCCCCAUGCGAACAGCAAAGAGGAGUUAUAGGAACACAAAUCAACCGUAGUAGCGGCUCGUUCAAAACACGACCAUUUGCACUCUUUUUUUUAAGGCUACUGUUGGUAAUUGAAGUAGCAGUUAAAUACAAGUUAAAAACAACGGUUACAAACUGUACUCACCGGCGCACACGCCAUGAGAUACUGCCUGGUGUAAAAUUAGAAAACAUUUGCUUUGGCUUUUAAAAGUUCCCUGCGUUUUUUUUUUUUUUUUUUUUUUUAUGUUUGUUUUUUUAUUUUAUAUGGGUUUAUUUUCGAUGUAUAUAACGAUUAUCAUUCAUUAACUUUAACACAGGAUAUGGAAGAGCUCCUAUGGUAUUCGGCGGUGGUAAAACAUGGGGGGAAAAAAAACCCAAAUGCUUGUUGGUUUAACCCACAAAGCUGGAAUCUGGCACUUUUUAAUUCACAAAAAAAAGUUUAAAGCCGCGCUCUCACAAUCCACGCGGUUCCUCAUUCUGCUUCACACUCCCCCCAGCCCCCCCCCGCGUCCCUCUCAUUGGCCAUUCAAGACUUUGAGCGCAGCGGCUCAGGUCCCUUUGCUGUAAGCGUGUGCGUGUGCGUGUGCGUGUGCGUGUGCUUUUGCUGGCGCAAGCUAUUGUUAGCUACUAAAUACCUAGACCCUUUGUUCUUGGGCGUUUCCAGUCCGCAGCGCAACACGUGUUAAAUGUCGAAUCAUUCCUGUAAUAACAAUUCUACUAAUAAAACUUAGUUGAAAUAGACACAUGUACUUAUAGGGUUCUUUGUGUUGAUAUUACAGGGUACUGUUACUAGAUGCAUUUAAUGUGUACGAUUUAUUUAUUACAAAUCACACGAGUAUACUUGUUGCAGAGAUUCGUAUCAGUGCAAUAAUAAUAAUAAUAAUAAUAAUAAUAAUAAUAAUAAUAAUAAUAAUAGUGCAAUACAGCAAUUUUAGCAGAGAAUCAUUCCCGGGGAAACACAUCCGCUUUGCCCUUUUAAACGGACUGGGACGGUUGCAACAUAACACAUGGGCGUUGAGCGUAAACAAAAAAUGCUGAAUCGUUAAACCGUAGCCUCGUAAAAAAUACAUAAAAAAAAUGUAAUAAAAAAGCUCCAGAACAAACUGUACUCCCGAUCUCAAAAACAGAAGCAACGUCUUUGCAAACAGCACUCGCACAACCCAGUUAUGCAACUUCCUUUUUCGUGCUCCUCGGUGAACCGGUUGGUCGAGCGCAGUUCUCGCUUCCGUACCCGGCAUACGCAGCAGAAUAUACACGGACAGUACUUCACACCGCUAUAUGGGUCAAAAGAAACACAAAACAGCGUGUUCCGGAAAGAAACCCUGCCUGGUUUAUCAACUGAAACAAAACAGCGCACUACUGCACCUGUACAAAUGACAAGGCCAUAGGCGAAGAGAAGCUAUUAAGUAUAGCAUAGAUCUACAUUGAACAUGGUCCGUGCAGUAUCCGAAGGGGGUAUUCGUGUGGAUCACUCAUUGUUCUAAGUGUCCAGUUGCUUUACAGUAUAACAUCAGAAGGUUCGCAAAGGCCGCUAUCCAUCAUUCUGCACCUGUAUAGUGCAGAGAAGCCCACCCCUCCGAGACACAGCCCGCUUUCUAAUUGAAUUUCUCCAGCAGGGCUGGCCACACAGCAACCCGCAGAUGCACACUCUGAAAUGAAAAUGGAUCAGUUUGUGUUGGCCGUCUGUUUCGAUUGACAAUGUUGUGCUCUGCAAGUGACCGUCAUUUACACACCCAAGAGAAAUCAGGUGCUUAAGCAAUAUUGCAUUCAGAAGUGUUAAGAGGUUGACAUCUCUCUGUUUAUCUAGUGUGUAAACAACACCUUCAAAUCAAAUGCCUUGUGCAUUAUGCAGUAUUUGCUUUGGGCCUCACCGUGUCUAAAAUAACUACAAAUUAAAUAAAAACGGAUGUUUUACAAACCUGGUAUUCUAUAUUUAACAUCAUCGAUUCUCACACACAUUUCUCUUUAGCAAGAUUGCUUACACUUUAAAAGAAUUGUGAAUGAAAUGUUUCAAUGAAGUGAAGCUGCAUUUUGAAUGACAAGCAGGAACCGAUUCCAGAAUUCCUGAGGAGCUCUGUACAUGAUCCCUGGCCUGUCUUGGUUAUCAUAAGAGGAAUAUUCAUUUCACAUUCAGCGUUCCUUACAUAGAAUGCUCAUUAACUGUACUUGCUAACAGGAUUGUACGUCCAUCAUGUCUAGCUUUAUAAAGCAAAGAGACAAAACUGCAAUGUCAUUCCAAAGACAAUGGAGUCCUCAGGGGGAGGCUUUACCAGGGCCAUUCACACAUCCUGCUGCUGAUCAUCAAGAAAGCAAUGUCCUCUAACAGACACCAGAGAGAGAGACUCCAUUCACACAUAGGCUUAUUGUCCUCAUUCUGGCCUCAUAUAUAAAUGUAUCCCACAGGAAAAGUAUAUGAAAGUGUUGUAAAGUACAGUGAAAUCAGGGAGUAGGCUAGCAUUGUAAAGCUUGUGUUAAGGUACGGUAAAGAUGCAUGUUCAAAUACACGGCACACCGUGCUAAUCUGGGAUAAAUUGUUAGAAGGGAGAUGCAACUCACAAAGCUUUUCAAGAAACAAAAACUGACUUUGCACUUCAAAUGCAGGCCGGAGAAAAAGUAGUUUGGAUUUUCUUUGCUCAAUAGAGGAAAGCGUGUAAUCCUAAAUGUGUUGUAUGCAUUUUGAGGACCAAUAAACAAUGAAAACUAAACA